UGGGGAAUAUUGCGCAAUGGGGGAAACCCUGACGCAGCGACGCCGCGUGCGGGAUGAAGGCCUUCGGGUUGUAAACCGCUUUUGAUUGGUAGCAAGCUUUCGGGUGAGUGUACCUUUCGAAUAAGCGCCGGCUAACUACGUUCCAGCAGCCGUGGUAAUACGUAGGGCGCAAGCGUUAUCCGGAAUUAUUGGGCGUAAAGAGCUUGUAGUCGGUUCGUCGCGUCUGGUGUGAAAUCCCAUGGCUUAACGGUGGGUUUGCGCAGGGGACGGGGGGGCUAGAGUGCAGUAGGGGAGACUGGAAUUCCCGGUGUAACGGUGGAAUGUGUAGAUAUCGGGAAGAAAAACAAUGGCGAAGGCAGGUCUCUGGGCUGUUACUGACGCUGAGAAGCGAAAGAGUGGGGAGCGAACAGG
rnacentral:rRNA from 1 species